AGUGUCUACCCAUGCUGUUGUGUAUGCUCGUCUUAUAACAGAUGGUAAAGACUAUGGGGUUAAUGGUUUUAUUGUCCAACUACGGAGCUUGGAGGACCACAAACCUCUUCCAGGUGUUACUGUUGGAGACAUUGGAAUGAAAUUUGGGAACGGAGCAUACAAUUCCAUGGAUAAUGGGGUGUUAAGCUUUGAUCACGUGCGCAUUCCAAGAGAUCAAAUGUUGAUGAGGGUUUCUCAAGUUACAAAGGAAGGAAAAUAUGUUCAGUCUGAUAUUCCUCGACAACUCCUUUAUGGGACCAUGGUAUAUGUACGGCAAUCAAUUGUAGCAGAUGCUUCCCUUGCAAUGUCUCGGGCUGUGUGUAUUGCAACCAGAUACAGUGCCGUUCGUAGACAAUUUGGCUCUCAGAAUGGUGGACAAGAAACUCAGGUGAUUGACUACAAAACUCAGCAAAACAGGCUCUUCCCCUUGUUGGCUUCUGCAUAUGCCUUCAGAUUUGUUGGUGAGUGGCUGAAAUGGUUGUACACUGAUGUUACCCAAAGACUUGCAGCAAAUGAUUUCUCAACAUUGCCUGAGGCACAUGCAUGUACCGCAGGAUUGAAGUCUUUGACCACCAGUGCCACUGCUGAUGGAAUUGAAGAAUGCCGAAAGUUAUGCGGAGGUCAUGGUUAUCUUUGUAGCAGUGGGCUUCCAGAAUUAUUUGCCGUUUAUGUCCCUGCCUGUACUUACGAAGGAGAUAAUGUCGUGCUACAGCUACAGGUUGCAAGGUUUCUUAUGAAGACCAUUUCACAACUGGGCACUGGAAAGAAGCCAGUAGGUACCGUAUCUUAUAUGGGAAGAAUCGAACACUUGAUGCAGUGUCGUUCUGAUGUGAAACAAGCCGAGGACUGGCUGAAACCUAGUGCAGUAUUGGAAGCAUUUGAAGCAAGGUCUGCCAGGAUGUCUGUUGCCUGCGCUAAGAAUCUUAGCAAGUUUGAGAAUCAAGAAGAAGGCUUUGCAGAACUAGCAGCUGAUUUAGUUGAAGCAGCAGUUGCUCAUUGUCAAUUAAUUGUUGUGUCCAAGUAUAUUGAGAAGUUGCAACAAAACAUUCCCGGUAAAGGGGUUAAGCAACAGCUGGAGGUGCUUUGUGGCAUCUAUUCACUGUUCAUUCUUCACAAACAUCAAGGAGAUUUUCUCGGGACUGGCUACAUCACCUCAAAGCAGGGGUCGCUUGCUAACGACCAGCUCAGAGCCUUGUAUUCCCAGCUUCGUCCAAAUGCUGUAUCACUGGUUGAUGCA
rnacentral:misc_RNA from 1 species